rnacentral:rRNA from 1 species
GACGAACGCUGGCGGCGUGCUUAACACAUGCAAGUCGAACGCUGAAGCUCAGCUUUUGUUGGGUGGAUGAGUGGCGAACGGGUGAGUAACACGUGAGUAACCUGCCCCCUUCUUUGGGAUAACGCCCGGAAACGGGUGCUAAUACUGGAUAUUCACUGGUCUUCGCAUGGGGGUUGGUGGAAAGGGUUUUUCUGGUGGGGGAUGGGCUCGCGGCCUAUCAGCUUGUUGGUGGGGUGAUGGCCUACCAAGGCUUUGACGGGUAGCCGGCCUGAGAGGGUGACCGGUAACAUUGGGACUGUGAUACGGCCCAGACUACUACGGGAGGCAGCAGUGGGGAAUAUUGCACAAUGGGCGCAAGCCUGAUGCAGCGACGCCGCGUGAGGGAUGGAGGCCUUCGGGUUGUGAACCUCUUUCGCUCAUGGUCAAGCCGCAACAAUGGUUGUGGUGAGGGUAGUGGGUAAAGAAGCGCCGGCUAACUACGUG